rnacentral:lncRNA from 1 species
CUUUUUAGAAGUGUAAUUUGUAUUUUAUCUCACUGUGCACUGAAAAUCCCAUCGGUGAACUGCAGUUUUCUGGAGCAAAAUAUAGGAAUUGCAGGUUAUUAUCUUUGUUUUAAAAUAUAUUCCAUAAAAUUAUUGUGUUUGUUUUGAAUUCAAAUAAAUAAAGUGAAUAUAAUCUUGCCCCAAAUGUCAUUAACUCUUUUAACUGACGAUGGUGCACGUUGCAAUGAAAAGCAGAAAUUAUUGUCCAAAAAUUAACAACAUGAUGAUGGCCACUUUAUGUAU